rnacentral:rRNA from 1 species
UACAGAGGUCUCAAGCGUUGUUCGGAUUCAUUGGGCGUAAAGGGUGCGUAGGUGGCGUCGUAAGUCAGGUGUGAAAUUUCGGAGCUUAACUUCGAAACUGCAUUUGAUACUGCGGUGCUUGAGGACUGGAGAGGAGACUGGAAUUUACGGUGUAGCAGUGAAAUGCGUAGAGAUGGGGGAGAACACUCGUGGCGAAGGCGGCCAGCUAGACCAGUUCUGACACUGAGGCGCGACAGCGUGGGGAGCAAACAGG